rnacentral:rRNA from 1 species
AUUGAACGCUGGCGGCAGGCCUAAUACAUGCAAGUAGAACGCAGUUGCGAACGGGUGAGUAACGCGUAGGUAACUGCCUCAUAGCGGGGGAUAACUAUUGGAAACGAUAGCUAAUACCGCCUACUGUGAGCUGGACCUGCGUUGUAUUAGCUCGUGGGUGGGGUAAAGGCUCACCAAGGCGACGAUACAUAGCCGACCUGAGAGGGUGAACGGCCACACUGGGACUGAGACACGGCCCAGACUCCUACGGGAGGCAGCAGUAGGGAAUCUUCGGCAAUGGACGGAAGUCUGACCGAGCAACGCCGCGUGAGUGAAGAAGGUUUUCGGAUCGUAAAGCUCUGUUGUUAGAGAAGCGGUAACUAAACAGAAAGGGACGGCUAACUACGUGCCAGCAGCCGCGGUAAUAC